rnacentral:rRNA from 1 species
UACAGGGGGGGCAAGCGUUGUUCGGAAUUACUGGGCGUAAAGGGCUCGUAGGUGGCCAACUAAGUCGGACGUGAAAUCCCUCAGCUUAACUGGGGAACUGCGUCCGAUACUGGAUGGCUUGAGUUUGGGAGAGGGAUGCGGGAUUCCAGGUGUAGCGGUGAAAUGCGUAGAUAUCUGGAGGAACACCGGUGGCGAAGGCGGCAUCCUGGACCAACACUGACACUGAGGAGCGAAAGCCAGGGGAGCAAACGGG